UACGGGGGGAGCAAGCGUUGUUCGGAUUUACUGGGCGUAAAGGGCUCGUAGGCGGCCAACUAAGUCAGACGUGAAAUCCCUCGGCUUAACCGGGGAACUGCGUCUGAUACUGGUUGGCUUGAAUCCGGGAGAGGGAUGUGGAAUUCCAGGUGUAGCGGUGAAAUGCGUAGAUAUCUGGAGGAACACCGGUGGCGAAGGCGGCAUCCUGGACCGGUAUUGACGCUGAGGAGCGAAAGCCAGGGGAGCAAACGGG
rnacentral:rRNA from 1 species